UUCACACCCAUACCACCAGAUGGAAUGACAAAAUCCAAGAGUUAAGGUAUAUCUGUGCCAUGGGAGGGAGGUGUGGGUGCACUCUUGGACGGAUGCGGGCUGUGUGGUCCGGGAGUGUGGGGGACUUGACCGGUGGGGCGGUGGACCGCUUGAGCCGGGGACGUGAUGGGGAUGCCGGACCGUUUGCUGGGGUCGUGUGUUGUGAGAUCAUGGAUGGGAUUUUGAGUGGAAGUUGUGCUGAAGGGAGGUGCCAUAUGGCAUGAGGGAGGGGUCCUGCGAUCUUUGAUUUGGUGGGGAAUGAUGGGGAGCACAUCCCGAUGAGUAGGGGAUCGGGAGUGUAUUCUGUUCCCCUGUACAGUGUUGGUGAGCAACUGGACCAGUGUUAUGUCGGCGGUGCCACUCGGACCUUAGAGGGGAGGAAUACGCGAGCAUAAGGCGGAUGUCGCAGCAGGCAGAUUGGCUGCCGCCCUGUCGACUGUGGCAGGUGGGCGCGAUGUGGCAGUGGACUGGUCCC
rnacentral:lncRNA from 1 species